GUAUAUUCAUACUUCUGAUGAGGUUGAUAGUCAGAACAGCUUGACUCUCCCUGCUUGGUUUAAAAAUAAUCAACAACCAAAAAUGUGUCCCUUAACAGCGAGUUUUGGAAUUAACAAAUCAAGUGAACUGUCUGCCCUACUUGGUGCUAAAUGGAUUUUCAGAGCUGUCUGUCUUAAAUAUCCUUGCUCUCCAGAGGUGAAGGCACAAAACAGUGAGAAGAGGCCUCAUUCUGCAAUCCCAGCUUGCUUGGGUCAGUCAUGUUUAUUUGAACGUGUUUGAUUCAGGAACACUGAUGAUGGGUGAGGUGCUUGCACUAACCAACUGCCGUACAGUAUCUUUUUACUUUUUUUUGGUAAUAUGAUCUAAGACUAUCCUAAAGUGAGCAUCAAACACUGCAGCAUGUUUUUUCCUUCCUCAUUGCUGCAUGCAUCUACAACUGCUUCUGCAGUGUUAGGUAAAUCUGUUGUCCUGGCAG
ensembl:lncRNA